rnacentral:rRNA from 1 species
UACCAGCACCCCGAGUGGUCGGGACGAUUAUUGGGCCUAAAGCAUCCGUAGCCGGCCUUACAAGUCCUCCGUUAAAUCCAGCUGCUUAACAGGUGGGCUGCGGAGGAUACUAUAAGACUAGGAGGCAGGAGAGGCAAGCGGUACUCAGUGGGUAGGGGUAAAAUCCGUUGAUCCAUUGAAGACCACCAGUGGCGAAGGCGGCUUGCCAGAACGCGCUCGACGGUGAGGGAUGAAAGCUGGGGGAGCAAACCGG